AUUGAACGCUGGCGGCAGGCCUAACACAUGCAAGUCGAGCGAGCGGCGGACGGGUGAGUAAUGUCUGGGAAACUGCCUGAUGGUGGGGGAUAACUACUGGAAACGGUAGCUAAUACCGCAUCCUAUCAGAUGUGCCCAGAUGGGAUUAGCUAGCAGGUGGGGGAAGGGCUCACCUAGGCGACGAUCCCUAGCUGGGCUGAGAGGAUGACCAGCGCCACUGGAACUGAGACACGGUCCAGACUCCUACGGGAGGCAGCAGUGGGGAAUAUUGCACAAUGGGCGCAAGCCUGAUGCAGCCAUGCCGCGUGUGUGAAGAAGGCCUUCGGGUUGUAAAGCACUUUCAGCGGGGAGGCGUUACCCGCAGAAGAAGCACCGGCUAACUCCGUGCCAGCAGCCGCGGUAAUAC
rnacentral:rRNA from 1 species